rnacentral:ncRNA from 2 species
CUCUUAUCAAGAGAGGUGGAGGGAUGUGCCCGAUGAAGCCCGGCAACCGUCAAUAUUUGUAUUGAAAUGGUGCCAAUUCACACAAAGCAAUUGCUUUGGGAGAUGGGAG